UACAGAGGGUGCGAACGUUGCUCGGAAUUACUGGGCGUAAAGCGCAUGUAGGCGGAUCCAUAAGUCGGGCGUGAAAUCCCCAGGCUCAACCUGGGAACUGCGCUCGAAACUGCCUGGCUUGAGUUCGGGAGAGGGAAGCGGAAUUCCGGGUGUAGCGGUGAAAUGCGUAGAUAUCCGGAGGAACACCGGUGGCGAAGGCGGCUUCCUGGACCGACACUGACGCUGAGGCGCGAAAGCUAGGGGAGCAAACGGG
rnacentral:rRNA from 1 species